GACGAACGCUGGCGGCGUGCUUAACACAUGCAAGUCGAACGGAAAGGCCUCUUUCGGGGGGUACUCGAGUGGCGAACGGGUGAGUAACACGUGAGUAACCUGCCCUUGACUCUGGGAUAACUUCAGGAAACUGGGGCUAAUACCGGAUAGGAGCUCCUGCUGCAUGGUGGGGGUUGGAAAGUUUCGGCGGUUGGGGAUGGACUCGCGGCUUAUCAGCUUGUUGGUGGGGUAGUGGCUUACCAAGGCUUUGACGGGUAGCCGGCCUGAGAGGGUGACCGGCCACAUUGGGACUGGGAUACGGCCCAGACUCCUACGGGAGGCAGCAGUGGGGAAUAUUGCACAAUGGGUGGAAGCCUGAUGCAGCAACGCCGUGUGCGGGAUGACGGCCUUCGGGUUGUAAACCGCUUUCGCUCAUGACGAAGCUUUGUGUGACGGUAGUGGGUAAAGAAGCACCGGCUAACUACGUG
rnacentral:rRNA from 1 species